UACGUAGGGUGCGAGCGUUGUCCGGAAUUAUUGGGCGUAAAGAGCUCGUAGGCGGUUUGUCGCGUCGGCCGUGAAAACUUGGGGCUUAACCCCAAGCCUGCGGUCGAUACGGGCAGACUUGAGUUCGGCAGGGGAGACUGGAAUUCCUGGUGUAGCGGUGAAAUGCGCAGAUAUCAGGAGGAACACCGGUGGCGAAGGCGGCACUCUGGGCCGGUACUGACGCUGAGGAGCGAAAGCGUGGGGAGCGAACAGG
rnacentral:rRNA from 1 species